rnacentral:rRNA from 1 species
UACGAAGGGGGCUAGCGUUGUUCGGAAUCACUGGGCGUAAAGCGCACGUAGGCGGAUUGUUAAGUCAGGGGUGAAAUCCCGAGGCUCAACCUCGGAACUGCCUUUGAUACUGGCGAUCUAGAGUCCGGGAGAGGUGAGUGGAACUGCGAGUGUAGAGGUGAAAUUCGGAGAUAUUCGCAAGAACACCAGUGGCGAAGGCGGCUCACUGGCCCGGAACUGACUCUGAGGUGCGAAGGCGUGUGGAGCAAACAGG